rnacentral:rRNA from 1 species
CCUACGGGAGGCAGCAGUGAGGAAUAUUGGUCAAUGGGCGGAAGCCUGAACCAGCCAAGUCGCGUGAGGGAUGAAGGUCCUGCGGGUCGUAAACCUCUUUUGCCGGGGAGCAGAGGCCCGGACGUGUCCGGGCCGGGAGAGUACCCGCAGAAAAAGCAUCGGCUAACUCCGUGCCAGCAGCCGCGGUAAUACGGGGGAUGCGAGCGUUAUCCGGAUUUAUUGGGUUAAAAGGGUGCGUAGGCGGGCUGUUAAGCCGGCGGUAAAAUGUCGGGGCUCAACCCCGGCCGGCCGUCGAAACUGGGUGCCUUGAGUGGGCGAGAAGUAUGCGGAAUGCGUGGUGUAGCGGUGAAAUGCAUAGAUAUCACGCAGAACCCCGAUUGCGAAGGCAGCAUACCGGCGCCCUACUGACGCUGAGGCACGAAAGUGUGGGUAUCGAACAGGAUUAGAUACCCGAGUAGUC